rnacentral:rRNA from 1 species
CUGGCGGCGUGCUUAACACAUGCAAGUCGAACGAUGAACCGGUGCUUGCACUGGGGAUUAGUGGCGAACGGGUGAGUAACACGUGAGUAACCUGCCCUUAACUCUGGGAUAAGCCUUGGAAACGAGGUCUAAUACUGGAUAUUGACUUUUCCUCGCAUGGGGAUUGGUUGAAAGAUUUAUUGGUUUUGGAUGGACUCGCGGCCUAUCAGCUUGUUGGUGAGGUAAUGGCUCACCAAGGCGACGACGGGUAGCCGGCCUGAGAGGGUGACCGGCCACACUGGGACUGAGACACGGCCCAGACUCCUACGGGAGGCAGCAGUGGGGAAUAUUGCACAAUGGGCGAAAGCCUGAUGCAGCGACGCCGCGUGAGGGAUGACGGCCUUCGGGUUGUAAACCUCUUUCAGUAGGGAACAAGGCCAGACGUUGUCUGGUUGAGGGUACUUGCAGAAGAAGCGCCGGCUAACUACGUGCCAGCAGCCGCGGUAAUACGUAGGGCGCAAGCGUUAUCCGGAAUUAUUGGGCGUAAAGAGCUCGUAGGCGGUUUGUCGCGUCUGCCGUGAAAGUCCGGGGCUCAACUCCGGAUCUGCGGUGGGUACGGGCAGACUAGAGUGAUGUAGGGGAGACUGGAAUUCCUGGUGUAGCGGUGAAAUGCGCAGAUAUCAGGAGGAACACCGAUGGCGAAGGCAGGUCUCUGGGCAUUAACUGACGCUGAGGAGCGAAAGCAUGGGGAGCGAACAGGAUUAGAUACCCUGGUAGUCCAUGCCGUAAACGUUGGGCACUAGGUGUGGGGGACAUUCCACGUUUUCCGCGCCGUAGCUAACGCAUUAAGUGCCCCGCCUGGGGAGUACGGCCGCAAGGCUAAAACUCAAAGGAAUUGACGGGGGCCCGCACAAGCGGCGGAGCAUGCGGAUUAAUUCGAUGCAACGCGAAGAACCUUACCAAGGCU